UACGAAAGGGGCUAGCGUUGCUCGGAAUACUGGGCGUAAAGCGUGCGCAGGCGGUUAUGUAAGACAGUUGUGAAAUCCCCGGGCUCAACCUGGGAAUGGCAUUUGUGACUGGAAGGCUAGAGUGUGUCAGAGGGGGGUAGAAUUCCACGUGUAGCAGUGAAAUGCGUAGAGAUGUGGAGGAAUACCGAUGGCGAAGGCAGCCCCCUGGGAUAACACUGACGCUCAUGCACGAAAGCGUGGGGAGCAAACAGG
rnacentral:rRNA from 1 species